rnacentral:tRNA from 1 species
AAAAUUUUAGUUUAUUAACUAAAAUAAUUCAUUUACACUGAAAAGAUUAAAACUUUUAAGUUUAAAAUUUUA